GGCCCGGAGGAGGAGAAUUAACCCGAUUGUCCGUGCCUGGAGCAAAAAGCUAAUACUGCUCCGGAAUACGAUACUGCUCCCAGAGCCGUUCAACAUUGGAUCCAGAUAGGGAAGAAGCCUCCACUUUUGGAUCCGAAGGAGAUUCGUCGGUCGGAUUCUCCGACCGACUAUCCCGAGAAGAAGAAGUCCUAGUCAUAAAGAUGGAAAACUAGAGAAAAUCCUAAAACAAAAAAUCAAAGGGGAGACGGACCCAAGAAGAAGGACGAGAAAACUUGAUCUGAAGCUAAAAAGGGGCGGAGAAGAGACCUUAGAGCUUUGGUACUAGGGCGAUCUUUCGGUAGAACCUUCCGCUGCAGAGGAUGGUGACAAAUGCAAAGUAAAAUUUUGGUUGAAAGCGACUCCACAUAUAUAGGAUCCCUCAACGGUCCGGAUGAAAUCGGUCAAAUCUGAAUCUCAUCAGAUGACGACAUGUGGCAACAUCCAGACCGACCAUUGAUCGGACGGUUCACCACACCUGCUUCAGAUCGUGCCACCUCACCGUUAUCCGCGUGAACAACUCCGACCCAAUGAUGUUUGGAUAUGUAGCCAAGAUCUACUAGUCAGAAUCAAAUUAUCCGGUGCCGAAUUAUCUUUCUGAAACGACGGCUCAAUAAUAAUUUCACAGCUAUCAAAACAACAAAAUAGCCGAAGAUCUUUCGUACUCCGAAAAGUCAUUAUCAUCAGCAGCCGAGUCGGAAAUUAAGAUAACAUGUGACGACUUCCUUCGUCCAACGUGACAGAUCAUGUAAUAAUAUACACG
rnacentral:lncRNA from 1 species